rnacentral:rRNA from 1 species
UACGUAGGUUGCGAGCGUUGUCCGGAAUUACUGGGCGUAAAGAGCUCGUAGGUGGUUUGUCGCGUCGUCUGUGAAAUUCCGGGGCUUAACUCCGGGCGUGCAGACGAUACGGGCAGACUGGAGUGCUGUAGGGGAGACUGGAAUUCCUGGGGUAGCGGUGGAAUGCGCAGAUAUCAGGAGGAACACCGAUGGCGAAGGCAGGUCUCUGGGCAGUUACUGACACUGAGGAGCGAAAGCAUGGGUAGCGAACAGG